GCCCCUUCCCCGGGGGGGGGGUUCCGGCGGUGAUGGCGCAAUCUGCUGUAGGACAUAGCUGCACUGAUAAUCCAUGAUUCAUGGUAUUACAAUAAUGCCCAAUGGCCUCAAUCAGGAAUUGCUAUUCAACUUAUUGUACAUCAUGGCACAUGAACCAGAACUGCAUUUUUCAACUGCUAGCAAACGGGGCUAGACCCGCACCUAUGGUUAAUUCUGUGGCAAAUUGAAGAAGUCAAGAAACCGGGCCCACAAAAAGUGUCACAAGCUUCAAUUACAAGUUAAAUUCACUACAGUAAGAAAAGGAAACAAGAACUGUUUUGUAAUGAAAUAAGUUUAAACAAAAUCUCACCUGUAAUCACACACAAAUGCUAAUACCACCGUUACAGGAGUUUUCAUUACAUAAAGAAAUAAAGGAUACCAAAACAAAGCCUUUUGAUACUCUUAUUGCAACUCUAGUAAAAAGGUUUCCACUAGGCUUCUGUAGCAAAAUCCUGCACAACAAAAACUUCAGGCAGAUUUCAAAAAUCACAUCC